UACGAGGGGGGCGAGCGUUGUUCGGAAUUACUGGGCGUAAAGCGUGCGCAGGCGGUGAUGUAAGACCGAUGUGAAAUCCCCGGGCUUAACCUGGGAACUGCAUUGGUGACUGCAUCGCUCGAGUAUGGCAGAGGGGGGUAGAAUUCCACGUGUAGCAGUGAAAUGCGUAGAGAUGUGGAGGAAUACCGAUGGCGAAGGCAGCCCCCUGGGUCAAUACUGACGCUCAUGCACGAAAGCGUGGGGAGCAAACAGG
rnacentral:rRNA from 1 species